UUCAAUGGGCGGGCCGUAGCGGGGGAGCCGCAAGGCUCGCCGGUUUGGUUAUGACCCGGUCUGCUAACCCCGUUACGUGCCCGCUCACCCCA
rnacentral:antisense_RNA from 2 species